rnacentral:rRNA from 1 species
CCUACGGGAGGCAGCAGUGGGGAAUAUUGCGCAAUGGGCGAAAGCCUGACGCAGCGACGCCGCGUGAGGGAUGAAGGUCUUCGGAUCGUAAACCUCUGUCAGCAGGGAAGAACGGUCAAUGUGCUAAUCAGCAGUGAAUUGACGGUACCUGCAAAGGAAGCACCGGCUAACUCCGUGCCAGCAGCCGCGGUAAUACGGAGGGUGCGAGCUUUAAUCGGAAUUACUGGGCGUAAAGCGCUGUUAGGCGGUAUGUAAAUUCAAGGGUGAAAUCCCCGCGCUCAACGUGGGAACUGCCUUUGAAACUGGCAAACUGGGGUGUGUGAGAGGAGAGUGGAAUUCCAGGUGUAGGAGUGAAAUCCGUAGAUAUCUGGAGGAACAUCAGUGGCGAAGGCGACUAUCUGGCACAUAACUGACGCUGAGGAGCGAAAGCGUGGGUAGCAAACAGGAUUAGAUACCCGGGUAGUC